UCAAGCGAACAAGGGCGCAGGGCGAAUGCCUUGGCACUGGGAGCCGAUGAAAGACGUGAUAAGCUGCGAUAAGCUUCGGGGAGCUGCAAAUAAGCAUUGAUCCGGAGAUUUCUGAAUGAGGAAACUCACCUGGGUUCAUACUCAGGUACGUUAUACUGAACUUAAAAAUAGGUAUAUCGAGGGAACCGCCUGAACUGAAACAUCUAAGUAGGGCGAGGAAGAGACAUCAAACGAGAUUCCGUAAGUAGUGGCGAGCGAACGCGGAAGAGGGCAAACCGGAAGUAGAAAUACUUCCGGGGUACGGACCGCAUUUAGGACUUAAGUUGUUAACCGAACGGCAUGGGAAGGCCGGUCAGAGAGUGUGAGAACCACGUAGGUGAAAACGGAGAGAGCUGCGCAGGAUCCAGAGUACGGCCAGACACGUGAAACCUGGUCGGAAUACGGGGGGACCACCCUCCAACCCUAAAUACUACCCAGUGACCGAUAGCGUAUAGUACUGUGAAGGAAAGGUGAAAAGCACCCCGGGAGGGGAGUGAAAAAGAACCUGAAACCCUGUGCCUACAAGCACCUAGAGCACGUCAAAGUGUGAUAGGGUACUUUUUGUAGAACGGUCCGGCGAGCGAUUGUAUGCAGCAAGGUUAAGGACUUAAGGUCUGGAGCCGAAGCGAAAGCGAGUUUGAAAAGGGCGUUAAGUUGCAUACAAUGGGCCCGAAACCGGGUGACCUACCCAUGGUCAGGUUGAAGUGGAAGUAAAAUUCCAUGGAGGACCGAACCGACCUCCGUUGAAAAGGCGGCGGAUGAACUGUGGGUAGCGGAGAAAUUCCAAUCGAACCCGGAGAUAGCUGGUUCUCCCCGAAAUAGUUUUAGGACUAGCCUCAAGUUAGAUACCUGGAGGUAAAGCACUGAAUAGCCUAGCGGCCGAGAGGUUAGCGAAGCUUAUCAAACUCAGAAUGCCAGAGUAUUGAUGCUUGGGAGUCAGACAGUGUCAGAUAAAUGUCAUUGUCAAAAGGGAAACAGCCCAGAUCUACAGCUAAGGUCCCAAAGUCAGGUUAAGUGGAAAACGAUGUGAAGAUACGUAGACAACCAGGAUGUUGGCUCAGAAGCAGCCACACAUUCAAAGAGUGCGUAAUAGCUCACUGGUCGAGCGUCUUUGCGCGGAGAAUUUAACGGGGCUAAACCUGACACCGAAGCUUAGGCAAUACAGCAAUGUAUUGGGUAGGGGAGCGUUGUAUACGCGGUGAAACAGUAGCGCAAGCGGCUGUGGAGUGUAUAGAAGUGAGAAUGCCGGAAUGAGUAGCGCGAAUGCAGUGAGAAUCUGCAUGGCCGAAAGCCUCAGGUUUCUGGAGGAAGGUUCGUCCGCUCCAGGUUAGUCGGGAGCUAAGGUGAGGCCUAACGGCGUAGCCGAUGCACAGACGGUAGAGAUUCCGUCACCACCAAAAGAGUUAAGCACAGGGACACAUUUGAAGUCUCGGAGCCGGGUGUUGGUUCCGGUAGCGAUCGAGGGAAGUUAGUACCGAAGUCCGGGAUGGAAGAUGGCGAGAAAAGCUGUGUGUAUUUCUGCGGUGCCCGUACCGCAAACCGACACAGGUAGGUAGGAAGAAGAUUCUAAGGCCAACGGGAGAAGGGUUGUUAAGGAACUCGGCAAAUUGACCCCGUAACUUCGGGAGAAGGGGUGCUCCAGAGAUGGAGCCGCAGAGAAUCGGCCCAAGCAACUGUUUACCAAAAACACAGGUUUGUGCUAAAUCGAAAGAUGACGUAUACGAGCUGACGCCUGCCCGGUGCUGGAAGGUUAAGAGGAGAUGUGCAAGCAUUGAAUCGAAGCCCCAGUGAACGGCGGCCGUAACUAUAACGGUCCUAAGGUAGCGAAAUUCCUUGUCAGGUAAG
rnacentral:rRNA from 1 species